rnacentral:lncRNA from 10 species
GAGCGUCGGGGCUGAUCUCAGAAGAGUUGGACCAGCCUCUCCCGGGCACGAAGUUACUUCUGGAGCCUCCUCCCUCGUCCAGGAAACAAGCCCGGGACCCUUUAUCUGAAAUGUUUGGGACCAGCUAUAUUUUGGAAUCCAGAAUUUUUCCAAUUUGAGGAUCUGUGGGAUUUUGGACUGUGAUGUUUGAUCAAACCCACCUAGGACUGUCUAGGAUAAGACAACAGAUAGCUUCGUGUCAGGUCAAACCAGGAAGGAAGAAACUUUCGCUUUUGAAGCUUUUUUUGAUUUUGGAGUGGUGGAUGAGCCUGUGUGGACUUGCUUUCACCUUGGAGGGCCCUGGUGAAGAUGGAAAGAGAUAAUGUAGGUGAAGGUGCGGCGGCUGCGAGGUGCUCAGUCAGUGGGACUCAGUGCAUGACUUCUGUGCGCAGAAGUUACGACAGGCGGGCAGACUCAAGAGCUGAUCCUAUCUCUGGGAUAGAGCCCAAAGGAAAAGGUGCCCACCCAGCCAGGCACAGCCGCCUCGUGGGAAGCCGGGAUUGGAACUGCGGCCUGGCCGUGGUGCCACGUUGCGUGUUUAUGUCUUGGGCGUUGUGGGAGGCAGGACUGGCCAUUCUCUCCCCCUGGUGACGACCUCAGGGGCAGUAACAGGCCCUGUGUUUAUGCCAAAGACGGUGUAGGUGUCUCGAUACUAGGCCAGACCACCGGCCAGUUCCUUCAUCGAGAAUUAGUUCUUCUUGAGACGCUUAGGGAGACUGAGUCCCCAUGCAGAUGGUGGCUGUCCUCCAGGGUCGGAGGCAGAAGCCGCGUCUCCCAGUGGCCCUGCAGCGACGUGGUGGUCGAAUGAGUU